UCAGCCAGGUGACAGAAAGAGAAGGCAGCUUUGAAAUUACAACUAUAACCAAGUACUGCUGGUAAUGAAGCCACCCCUAGCGGGCAAUAUUUUCAUAUUUUAAAGCGUCUCUCUCUUAUUUUUUAUAACAGUGUUGUGAACAUACAGAAAUAUUACAUCCAGUCUGUAAUGUUUACGUUUUGUAUUACUUCAGGGACAUUCUUUGAAAAUGUAUAUCAAAGUCAUCAGCAUCAGACUACUGUAAGCCUGUACCGCCAAGACAUGCACCCACCCGACUUCAAAAAGCAGUUCCUGUUUUCUCAACAACCUAACUGGAGAAAUGAAGCAUAUUCCUUGAUUGAUUUCUAUCACACAGCGAGGCCAGGGGACAAAGAAUGGCAGACAGAAUGCUGAAAGGAUGCAAGAAUCCACUUUAAAGUCGGGAUAUGGCACAAGCCACUGAAAAGCUGUGUUGAUUCAGGGGUGAACUAGUAGAAGUGCUGCAAAU